rnacentral:rRNA from 1 species
UACAGAGGGGGCAAGCGUUAUUCGGAAUUAUUGGGCGUAAAGGGCGCGUAGGCGGCUUGGCAAGUGGAUGGUGAAAUCCCUCGGCUUAACCGAGGAACUGCCGUCCAAACUGCUUCGCUUGAGACCGGGAGAGGUGAGUGGAAUAGCCAGUGUAGAGGUGAAAUUCGUAGAUAUUGGCUGGAACACCGGUGGCGAAAGCGGCUCUCUGGCCCGGUUCUGACGCUGAGGCGCGAAAGCGUGGGGAGCAAACAGG